rnacentral:rRNA from 2 species
AUAACGACUCUCGGCAACGGAUAUCUCGGCUCUCGCAUCGAUGAAGAACGUAGCGAAAUGCGAUACUUGGUGUGAAUUGCAGAAUCCNGUGAACCAUCGAGUCUUUGAACGCAAGUUGCGCCCUAAGCCAUUUGGCCGAGGGCACGUCUGCCUGGGCGUCAAUC